CUACGGGGGGCUGCAGUGGGGAAUAUUGCACAAGGGAGGGAACUCUGAUGCAGCAACGCCGCGUGGAGGAUGACACAUUUCGGUGCGUAAACUCCUUUUAUAUAAGAAGAUAAUGACGGUAUUAUAUGAAUAAGCACCGGCUAACUCCGUGCCAGCAGCCGCGGUAAUACGGGGGGUGCAAGCGUUACUCGGAAUCACUGGGCGUAAAGAGCAUGUAGGCUGGUUUGUAAGUUGGAAGUGAAAUCCUAUGGCUUAACCAUAGAACUGCUUCCAAAACUACUUACCUAGAGUAUGGGAGAGGUAGAUGGAAUUUCUGGUGUAGGGGUAAAAUCCGUAGAGAUCAGAAGGAAUACCGAUUGCGGAGGCGAUCUACUGGAACAUUACUGACGCUCAGAUGCGAAAGCGUGGGGAGCAAACAGGAUUAGAUACCCUAGUAGUC
rnacentral:rRNA from 1 species